UCACAUCUUUAUGUGUAGAUGAGAGGUUUUGAUAGCUUUGUAAAGGGUUUGCUGUCAGUUUGUCAAUGGUUUAUUGGAAGUUGUCUAAGUUAUUUCACCUAAAAUAUGUGCUGUAUACUGUUAAUGGGUGACGUCACUUACAUGAAGCACGAAUUAAUUGAACCUAACAUCAGUUCAAAAGUGCUUUGAUCUUUCAUGGUAAACAAAUACUGAUAAAUUAAAAUUGUUCUGUGGUUUCAGGAGUGAUAAUAUAAUCUUUCUACAAAGGAAGAGAAGCUGCAAAGGAAGGGAGCUGCUGACAGAAAUGCAGAAAACACAGGUGAGCAUAGAAGAAAUAUGCAUUCAUAUGCAUUUUUUUUUUCACAACAUAUUUUCUUAUAUCACCAUGCAUCUGUUAUAUUACAGUUCAUUAAAGGAAGGUUUUGACAGGUAGUGACACAAACCUAAAUACAUGAAUGUUAAUAAUUUUAUUUUAAGAAAUUGUUUGUUUUGUGUGUGUGUGUGUGUGUGUGUGUGUGUGUGCAUGUACCAUUUUCUUUUCUGCGUUUCACUUCUGCUCUAGCUUGCUUCCUUUAAAUAAAGCUAAAUAUCGUUGGCUCUGUGAUAAAUUGCAUAUUAUGUUUCUAGAUUAUAUGCUGAUGGCCGUGCAGCAGAGGAGCGCAGAGUCUCCUGUCGGACAACAUCUCUAAGUCGCUAUGUACCAUGUUACUAGAUCCUAUGUACCCAGCCUCAACCAUUCAUCAGAAGGACUGAAAGCAGGAACUCUUUGAAACACCAGUGGCAGUUUCCACGGGAUGAAAAAGGGCAUAGUAGUGGAUGAUGAGGUCCUGAGACCAUAUGGGGUGAAGAUCAAGACAACCAAACCAAAUGUGGACUGUAACCUACUGGACUAUAUGAUAGACUUUAUACUGACCACUACUGCCAUGUAUGCAGCAUGAAAAGUUUUUGAAAAGAGGGGCAUUUCCUUCACCAAGUAAAAGUGUGGAGGAUUCAUCUGGCCUUCAUCGGCCCCCAUGAGGUGACUCGAUGUAGAAUAAAUCAGCUUGCUUUAGGCCUGAAAUGACUGAAAUCUUCUCGUGUGAGUUGAUAUCAUUUUAAACAUUCUUUAAAGUACUUCUCAUUUCUUGUGAAUGUAUUUUGUUGUAUGUGUAAAACUUUUCCAAUGAAAGAACCUUUUUUACCUUCAUUGAUAUUGUAAUCAAGGUUGUUAAUGCUAUGGACUGCACACAUCUGCCUGUGUUGGGCUUGUGUUUACAGGUUGUAUAAAACUAGGCCUGGCUGCAACAACUAAUCGAUAAUUAAAAUAAUCAUCAACGAAUUUGAAUAGUGCAUCAAAACAAACAGACCGCUCAUAAUUCUGACUAAAAUACACAUUUUGCUCAAAUAUUUUUUUGUUAGAAAUUAAGUGUAGGUUUAAAACCCUACAUGUAACACAAGUAAUCAUAUUUAUGAGAGCAGUAACAGUAAAGGCACUAUUGUUGGAAUUGUCCAUUAAUAUAAUAUAAUAAUAACUCUGUUCAGACGAAUGAUUGUGUUUGUUCCUCGUACCUCUUACAAGUUAACAUUGUGUUUUUUUGUUUAAAUUGUUUUAAAUUCUGUUUCAAAAUAACAAGCAAUCUGUUUUUAGGAUUAGAAUGUAAUGUUUGUAUUUUAACACUUUAAUGCUUAUAAUGAUAUCCAAAAAAAUUGUUAGUUGCAUGCAGCCCUACAAAAGAUAUUGUUAAAGAGGUCGGCGGUAUAAUGUUAUGUGUGAACACUAAGUCAUGUUUAUUUGUACAACGUAAUUAAUUUCUAUAGAGAUAAUGCAUUAUUACAGUGAAACAAUUUGCUAUUUUUAUUUUGUAAAUUAGCAGAAAACCAUCUCUACCACUGCAGUGCUUUAUCACUAUUUUUUAAAUAAAGUUAUAGUUCUGAAUCAUUUUGACAUGUGAUAACAAUAUUUUGUUUCAGAUGAUGUAACUGCUAUAAUAAAGCCUGUAUCAUAGAAUAGUAACUUGUCAUUCUGUUUUUAUUUUGUAGAUGUUUGUUGAAUAACUAGGCUUAAAUGUAAUUUGAGGUACUUUAGUAAAACUAUGGUUAAACUAUGGUAUUACAACCAUAGUUCAUUUGUGGUAAUUGAACCAUGGUUUUUAAAACCAUGGUUCGCACCAAAAAACCACGGGUACUACAGUCAUGGUUUACUACAGUUGUACUAUAGUAUUACUACAAUAUAACUGUAGUAAAACCAUGGUAUCAGAACCAUGGUUUUUUAAAAAACCACGGGUACCAAAAAACCACGGGUACUACAGUCAUGGUUAACUACAGUUUUACUAUAGUAAAACCAUGGUUAAUUUUCGUAAGGGUCCGUGCAUGGACCACGGCUGAUGCCUUCUGUGAGCCCAUCACGGAAUUUUCGGCGAUUCCGUGAUGCCACCACAGAUUCGGAGGUUAAUUAAGUCCGUGAACGUUACACGGAAUUCUGUGAGAUCAGGUUGUAUAUACGUAUAUCUGCACAUGCUUUACAAUUUUGUCUUUAUCACCGUCUUGGUACAUUAAGACCCAGAUAUAGCAAGGUGACAUUGAUUCAAUGUUAAAAUUCCAUCAGAAUCAGCAUUUUGGUUGAGGUUGAAAAUUCAAUGCUUUUCAGUGUUGAAAAGACAAAUAUUGAAUCAAUGUUGAUUUUUGGUCAGCAUUUCACUGGUGAAACUUUAGACUGUCAAUCCCUUAUUCAGCACUUAAAUAUGGUACAUCUUCCUGAAAUGUAGUGAGCACAUGCUCAUCAAACAAUAAAUGCUGUAAAUUUUGUAAACUCGUCACCACUAGCAGCACCGUUAAAUAAAUCAAACUGUCUACUGAGUGUAUGGACUAACAAAGAACUGUGAACAUUAGAUAGAAGUCAGAUAAACCAGCUGGAUAUUAUUAUUAUUAUUAGCAGCAGUAGUAGUAAUGUUUUUACAUUAGUAAUUAAUGUGUUCAUUACCUGUUUUUGGCUAGCUAGAGGAGUAGGCUACAUUCAGCCAGAGACUGAUAAUGACUAAAUGCUCCAAUGAAUGCCCUUAUAAUUCUUGUGGUCAUCCAGUUCAUUAACUUAAAUUAAACAUUUUUAUUUUUAAAUCAAAAUAUUUUUAAAUUAUAAUUAAAUAUUUAAAUUAUAAUUAUCAUUUAUAUAAUUUAUAAUUUAUAUAUUCGUUAUAAUUAUUAGAUUUAAAUCAUGUGGAAUUAUCUAAGGAGAAUAGAGAGAAUUCAGAGGGUUUUUUCAUGCGCCACAAUCCAGUCCAGCUAAAGCUGGCUGCCAACCGCCAAUCAAAUCAAAGCGCGGGAGAACAGAUUUCAAAUGCGAAAUGGACGGAGACCAGGCCUAAAGGUGUUUUUUUUUUGUAAGUAAUAAGAUUACAAAAAAAAAAAACCACAUAAACGCACAGAAAUAAUUAUAUAUAUAAAAAAUUCCAUGUAACUUAACUUACUUUCUUUACAGAGUUCCCUUUAUAUGACGACAGUUGACAGAUGUUGAUCCUUCACUUAGCUACGAACACAACGGAUUCACCUCAGAGAAAAGUAGUAGUGAUUUCAUUUCGCGUGUAUUUCACUAUUCAUCUUCCGUUAUAACUUGUGUUUUUCUGGACAAGUCCAAGUGAACUGCGAGUCACAUGAACGCGCGCCGUCCAGACCAACGAACGGCCGAAGUAAGAUUUUCAUUAAAUAUAUUUCACUUUGUUUUCCAAACCCUACCAGACACAAUAGUGAGAGUGUAAUGUGUGUGUUUGAACACUGCGGCUAAAUAAACUCGUCUAAUUCCAAUAACCCAUUGACAAAACCUUUACAAAGCUAUUAAAAUCUCCCAACUACACAUAAAUAUGUGAUGAAAAGUCAAAACUUUGAUAAAUCAGAGCUCACAGAGUUAGCAUACAUCGUCUGAAAACAGUUGAGAUGCUAACGGACUUUUUCGAAGACACUAAACCGUCUUUAUGAAGUAAAUAUUCAACAGCGCAUCAAUUACAAGAAAAGUAAAGUGUCAGGAACAGUUGUAUGUAAUAUUUGUGUGAUUUUAGGGACUAAACUCACCUGAAAACGGUGAAAACAGCAGCGAGAGAUGCAGUGUUGCAGCUGUCAGUUGGAGAGUUGCUGCCUCGUUUCCAUGGUGACUCCCUCGCUGUAGCGUUUGAAUGAUGAGACUCAGAGCGCGCUCAAAACACGUCACAGUCACGCACCAUUUAAAUAAACAUUAUAUAGAACAUGAACAACAACAACAAAAAAAUAUUUAAUUUUGAAUUUUAAUCGUUUUGUAGUUAUAUGACCCAUUCAUACAUAGGUGUAUACUGCAACCCGCACUUGAUAGUGGGACAAAGUAGCACUUUUAUUUUUAUUUAAUUUUUAUAGAUUUUUUUUUUUUUUUUUUGUAUUGUAUUGUUGUUUUUACGAUCAUUCAAACUAUUUAUUUCAUUUAAAAAUGUGCUUGCAGUUUUUAUACUAAACUUUUGUUAAUAAUUAUAACUCACUAUUUUUAUUCAGUGCUUCAGAUUCUAACUGUAAAAAUAAUGUAAAACAUAAAUGUAAUAUAUAUAUAUAUAAUUUAUAAAAGAAAGUGUCAUGUAAGAGCUCAGUAGAACAGGUCAGACCCUCCGCUUGCCACUGGUGCACCGACGGAGGGCCAGCCGCGGCAAACCGCUGGUGGCGUGCCACCCAAAAAACUCGAUAGCGUUUUUAGAUUGGUCGGCUCGCCGAUGGUGUGCCGACGGUGGUCCGACCGUAUUAAGCCGCUGAAUUUGUGCCGCCCAAAAAACGCUGAUGGACCGCCAUUGUUUGCUGGGAUUUUGCUAUCUGGGUGUGUGUGACAGCACACGCAGGCUGAGCGCGAUUUUGACUUUUCUUCCUCAAAAAACAAAAACGUAAAACAUUUCUACAAACUUAUUCGUGUCAUCGACCUUAUUUGAAUUUCGUGGGAGGGAAAACCUUGCAUUGUUUGAUUUUAUGUAAUUUUUAUGUUAUGUGAACAAUUUUAUAUAUUACUUUUGUUUUACUGUGACACCUUAAAGGGGUAGUUCACCCCAAAAUGAAAAUGUGCUGUUAAUUUACUCACCCUCAGGUCAUCCAAGGUGUGGGUGACUUCUGUUCUCUCCAGUAGAACAGUAAAGAAGACACACAACUAAUUACAACCAAUAUUUGAUUAACCUAAUAGCUAUGUUUUUCAUUCUUCAUUUUUCCCUUUUUGUAGCCCAUCAGAGGGACAUUUCCUUGGUUUGCUCACAUCAGGUAAGAAUGAAUUUCUGUUGAUUGUUACCUGUGACAGGUGUUGCAUACUCUAAACUUUUACUUUUACCUUUUUAAAUCUAGGUCAGAGGAUGGAAUCUCCUGGAUCAAGGUUAAUAAUAAAAGGCAAGUCAUUAUUAAAUGUAUAAAAUACAUGUCUUAAAGCAUCUUAAUGUUAAUACAAUCUUUUAUUUUGUAAAGGGAAGAUGUUUAUUUAAGCUGCAGCAGUAAAUAGUAAAAGAGUCUCAUCUCCAGUCCUCAGGCCCCGUCCUAGAGUGUUUUAGAUGUCUCACUAAUUAAAACACCUGGUUCAGCUGUAACAUUCUGGGAGGGGGUCCUGAGGACUGGAGCUGAGAAACUACACUAACGGUUAUGAAAAAUGAACGCUGUGUAUCAUAGAAGUUGUUGAUAUACUGUGUUUUUUUUUUUCUCAAACUGCUUUCCCAUUGUUUAUUCUGAAGUGACUGUAAUACUGGCUGAACCAGUGUCUGGAGGUCUGGGGUUUCAUCAUGAGACGCAGCUACCAGAGCAGAUUCUUCAAAGUGAAGAUGACAGAUGUGUGAUGGUUGGCUGUUUUGCUGUUGGAGGAGCAUCAGUUGAGGCAUAUAUUAGGAUGCUGGGCUGUACUCUAACCAUUGAGCCGGCUUCUCAGAUUAACUGGGCAGUAGGAGACCGAAAGAUCAGCAUGAACAACA